AUUGAACGCUGGCGGCAGGCCUAACACAUGCAAGUCGAACGAGUGGCGGACGGGUGAGUAAUGUCUGGGAAACUGCCCGAUGGAGGGGGAUAACUACUGGAAACGGUAGCUAAUACCGCAUACCAUCGGAUGUGCACAGAUGGGAUUAGCUAGUAGGUGGGGUAACGGCUAACCUAGGCGACGAUCCCUAGCUGGUCUGAGAGGAUGACCACCCACCCUGGACCUGAUACACGGUCCGGACUCCUCCGGGAGGCAGAAGUGGGGAAUAUUGGACAAUGGGCGCAAGCCUGAUGCAGCCAUGCCGCGUGUAGGAAGAAGGCCUUCGGGUUGUAAAGUACGUUCAGCGAGGAGGCGUUACUCGCAGAAGAAGCACCGGCUAACUCCGUGCCAGCAGCCGCGGUAAUUC
rnacentral:rRNA from 1 species